GGCGCUUCCAAGUCCAAUCGGAAAGUUUUAUAACCGUUCGCGCGCCGCGCCGGCUCCUUGCCUUUCCGCUUGAGCUUCUUGAGGCCGUUCAGCUCCUUCACGCACACGGUCUUCCACGGCCCGUCCUCGAGAACCGGGGACAGGAAGUGGCAGGGAGGAACAGCGCCUGCUCCCUUGCAUUGCCCAAUGAGAGUUCUUCCCAGUGGCAGAAGGACUUAAGUUUGGACCCAGGAGCAUCUGAAGGAUACCACACCCUGCCCCAUUAAAUGUGUUUCUCCUGGACCCAGGCUGUUUCCUCCUUGGAGUGGCAUCUUAUGACUUCUCUACCUUUAAAAUUAGGCCCAGCCAUGAGACUUGCUUUAGCCAAUGAAUUUCCAACAGAAGGGACAUGUGUCACCUCUGGACAGAAGUCUUAAUAGCUGAUACUCAACAUCUGGCUGAAACAAGAACACUUUAAUGGGAACAUCUGGAUGCUCACUCUGCACAGUGUGAAGCAGCUGGAUCCGUGGCAGCAUCUGUGUGUCUGAAGACCUGACUGGGACUGAACGAUCCACUUCCAAAAUGGAGAACAUAGUGCUUGGAGGUCCAGCUACCAUCUUACAAACAGAAGGAAAAGCUAUGAGAAUUUCUGGGAAAUGAGACCAGAGCCUAGACAUCAUGGAACUGUCAAAUAUCGACCCUGGAACUGCCCUCCUCUGGACUUCUCGUUUUGAGAGA